GUCUUAGUAGCAUAGUGGUUAGUGCACAGCUUCGGGAAAGUUGAGACGCGGGUUCGAUUCCCGCCCAAGAUG
rnacentral:tRNA from 1 species